UAGUCCACGCCGUAAACGAUGAAUACUAGGUGUCGGGGGUCGAACCUCGGUGCCGCAGUUAACACAAUAAGUAUUCCGCCUGGGGAGUACGAUCGCAAGAUUAAAACUCAAAGGAAUUGACGGGGGCCCGCACAAGCAGCGGAGCAUGUGGUUUAAUUCGAAGCAACGCGAAGAACCUUACCUAGACUUGACAUCCCUUGCAUAGCCCAGAGAUGGGUGAAGUCCUUCGGGACAAGGUGACAGGUGGUGCAUGGUUGUCGUCAGCUCGUGUCGUGAGAUGUUGGGUUAAGUCCCGCAACGAGCGCAACCCUUAUCAUUAGUUGCUACCAUUAAGUUGAGCACUCUAGUGAGACUGCCCGGGUUAACCGGGAGGAAGGUGGGGAUGACGUCAAAUCAUCAUGCCCCUUAUGUCUAGGGCUACACACGUGCUACAAUGGUGAGUACAAAGAGAUGCAAGAUCGCAAGGUGGAGCCAAACUCAAAAACUCAUCCCAGUUCGGAUUGUAGGCUGCAACUCGCCUACAUGAAGCCGGAGUUGCUAGUAAUCGCGAAUCAGCAUGUCGCGGUGAAUACGUUCCCGGGCCUUGUACACACCGCCCCGUCACACCAUGAGAGUUGGGUAACACCCCGAAGUCCGUGAAGGUAACCAGUAAUGGAGCCAGCGGCCGAAGGUGGGAUUGAUGAUUGGGGUGAAGUCGUAACAAGGUAGCCGUAGGAGAACC
rnacentral:rRNA from 1 species